CCGAGUUGUAAUUUGUAGAGGAUGCUUUUGGUGAGGUGCCGCCCGAGUUCCCUGGAACGGGACGCCACAGAGGGUGAGAGCCCCGUCUGGCUGGCCACCGAGCCUCUGUAAAGCUCCUUCGACGAGUCGAGUAGUUUGGGAANGCUGCUCAAAAUGGGAGGUAUAUGUCUUCUAAAGCUAAAUAUUGGCCAGAGACCGAUAGCGCACACGUAGAGUGAUCGAAAGAUGAAAAGCACCUUGAAAAGAGGGUUAAACNNUUUGUGAAAUUGUUGAAAGGGAAGCGCUUGUGACCAGACUUGGGCGCGGGGAAUCAUCCGGGGUUCUCUC
rnacentral:rRNA from 1 species